UCCGGCUUAACGCCGGCAGUCCCCCUAGAGUGCGCCCUUGCGGGCUGGCAACUAAGGGCGAGGGUUGCGCUCGUUGCGGGACUUAACCCAACACCUCACGGCACGAGCUGACGACAGCCAUGCAGCACCUGUGCUGGCUACCCUUGCGGGUUCAUUGCCGUUUCCGGUUCUUACCACCAGCAUGUCAAACCUGGGUAAGGUUCUUCGCGUUGCGUCGAAUUAAACCACAUGCUCCACCGCUUGUGCGGGCCCCCGUCAAUUCCUUUGAGUUUCAACCUUGCGGUCGUACUCCCCAGGCGGGGUACUUCCUGCGUUAGCGCCGGCACCCAGAGGGUCGCUCCCCCAGGCACCUAGUACCCAUCGUUUACGGUGUGGACUAC
rnacentral:misc_RNA from 1 species